rnacentral:rRNA from 1 species
GUAGGUGGCAAGCGUUGUCCGGAAUUAUUGGGCGUAAAGCGCGCGCAGGCGGUUCUUUAAGUCUGAUGUGAAAGCCCACGGCUCAACCGUGGAAGGUCAUUGGAAACUGGAGAACUUGAGUACAGAAGAGGAAAGCGGAAUUCCACGUGUAGCGGUGAAAUGCGUAGAGAUGUGGAGGAACACCAGUGGCGAAGGCGGCUUUCUGGUCUGUAACUGACGCUGAGGCGCGAAAGCGUGGGGAGCAAACAGGAUUAGAUACCCUGGUAGUCCACGCCGUAAACGAUGAGUGCUAAGUGUUAGGGGGGUUUCCGCCCCCCUUAGUGCUGCAGCUAACGCAUUAAGCACUCCGCCUGGGAGUACGGCCGCAAGGCUG